UCAAAAACAUGGUCUAUUGAUUAUAAUUUUAGGUUUGACCUGCCCACUGAAGUUUUAAAUGGCCGCAGUAUUUUGACUGUGCUAAGGUAGCAUAAUCAUUAGUUUCUUAAUUAGAAGCUGGAAUGAAUGGUUUUAUGAAAAAAUAUCUGUCUCUAUUUAAAUUUUUUAGAAUUUUAUUUUUUAGUUAAAAAGCUAAAAUAGGUUUGAAAGACGAGAAGACCCUAUAGAGUUUGAUAAUUUUUUACUUUAUAUUUAUAAGAAUUUUAAAUUUUAAAUUUAAAAUAUUAUUUAAUUGGGGUGAUUAAAAAAUUAAUUUAACUUUUUUUGUUAAAGUACAUUGAUUUAUGAAUUUUUGAUCCAUUUUUUAUGAUUAAAAGUUAAAAUUACCUUAGGGAUAACAGCGUAAUUUUUUCAAAGAGUUCUUAUCGAAGAAAAAGAUUGCGACCUCGAUGUUGGAUUAAAAUUAACUUUUGGUGUAGAAGUUAAAUAAUAGUUAGGUCUGUUCGACCUUUAAAAUUUUACAUGAUCUGA
rnacentral:rRNA from 1 species